rnacentral:rRNA from 1 species
UACGAAGGGGGCUAGCGUUGCUCGGAAUCACUGGGCGUAAAGCGCACGUAGGCGGACUCUUAAGUCAGGGGUGAAAUCCUGGAGCUCAACUCCAGAACUGCCUUUGAUACUGGGAGUCUUGAGUCCGGAAGAGGUAAGUGGAACUGCGAGUGUAGAGGUGAAAUUCGUAGAUAUUCGCAAGAACACCAGUGGCGAAGGCGGCUUACUGGUCCGGUUACUGACGCUGAGGCGCGAAAGCGUGGGGAGCAAACAGGAU